UACAGAGGUCUCAAGCGUUGUUCGGAUUCAUUGGGCGUAAAGGGUGCGUAGGCGGCGCGGUAAGUCGGGUGUGAAAUCUCGGAGCUUAACGUCCGAAACUGCGAUUCGAUACUGCCGUGCUUGAGGACUGGAGAGGAGACUGGAAUUUACGGUGUAGCGGUGAAAUGCGUAGAUAUCGUGAAGGAAGACCGAGUGGCGAAGGCGGGUC
rnacentral:rRNA from 1 species